CAUUUAGGGUGUACAGACCAACGUCUUUCUGAGGAUUUAGAAUCGUGGUUCGAUGCAAAGAAUUCUUUCAAAAUAUCUAAGCUUACUAAUGUCCCAAAGAAGCCAGCUUCCGUUUGCGGCCAAUAAGUGGUCAGGAUGAAGACAAAUAAAAUCCAGAUGGCGAGCCGAAUUAUACUACGACAGAUAAGACAUAAUCUCGGCCUUUCCAAAUCGAAAAAGAAGCGAAAACUACUAAUUCAUCGGCAUUGCGAUUUGUAAUAUUCUAUAUAAACAAUACCUCUUAAGUAUAUUUAAAAUGUGUGUAUACAUUCGUUCGUUUUCCUCACACUUUUUAAAAAAUAAAGUUUGAGUCGAAUUUUUUGAAUUUUUAAAGUGGUUUUAUUUACAUGGAGCAACAGAAUAAAUAUAUCUUUAAAUAAAUAAUUA